rnacentral:rRNA from 1 species
UAAUGUAUGGGGAUCUGCCCGAUAGAGGGGGACAACUACUGGAAACGGUGGCUAAUACCGCAUAAUGUCUACGGACCAAAGCAGGGGCUCUUCGGACCUUGCACUAUCGGAUGAACCCAUAUGGGAUUAGCUAGUAGGUGGGGUAAAGGCUCACCUAGGCGACGAUCUCUAGCUGGUCUGAGAGGAUGAUCAGCCACACUGGGACUGAGACACGGCCCAG